rnacentral:rRNA from 1 species
GAAUCUACGACGCCCGNUAGUCAUCUAAUGGNGCGUUGNAUNAUGGAUCUCACACUGAGCCGCUCGUUUGUACAGCCUAACACAUGCAAGUCGAACGGCAGCACAGGAGAGCUUGCUCUCUGGGUGGCGAGUGGCGGACGGGUGAGGAAUACAUCGGAAUCUACUCUGUCGUGGGGGAUAACGUAGGGAAACUUACGCUAAUACCGCAUACGACCUACGGGUGAAAGCAGGGGAUCUUCGGACCUUGCGCGAUUGAAUGAGCCGAUGUCGGAUUAGCUAGUUGGCGGGGUAAAGGCCCACCAAGGCGACGAUCCGUAGCUGGUCUGAGAGGAUGAUCAGCCACACUGGAACUGAGACACGGUCCAGACUCCUACGGGAGGCAGCAGUGGGGAAUAUUGGACAAUGGGCGCAAGCCUGAUCCAGCCAUACCGCGUGGGUGAAGAAAGGGGCCCCACCCCUUUUUUUUUCCCNGGGGGGGGGGAGGUGGGGGNGAUUUUUUUUUUU